AUUGAACGCUGGCGGCAGGCCUAACACAUGCAAGUAGAGCGGAUGAAGGGAGCUUGCUCCUGGAUUCAGUGGCGGACGGGCGAGUAAUGCCUAGGAAUCUGCCCGGUAGUGGGGGAUAACGUCCGGAAACGGGCGCUAAUAUAGCAUACGUUCUCAGGGGGUGAGUGGGGGAUCUUCGGACCUCACGCCAUUAGAUGAGCCUAGGGCGGAUUCGCCAGUUGGUGGGGUAAAGGCCUCCCAAGGCGCCGAUCUGUAACAGGUCUGAGAGGAUGAUCAGUAACACUGGAACUGGGACACGGUCCAGACUCCUACGGGAGGCAGCAGAGGGGAAUAUUGGACAAUGGGCGAAAGCCUGAUCCAGCCAGGCCGCGUGUGUGAAGAAGGUCUUCGGAUUGUAAAGCACGUUAAGUUGGGAGGAAGGGCAGUAAGUUAAUACCUUGCUGUUGUGACGUUACCAACAGAAUAAGCACCGGCUAACUACGUG
rnacentral:rRNA from 1 species